UUUGUUGGCAAUCUGGACAUGGGAACGUCUACUUUCUCGAUUUGCAAUCAAGCAAUUGGCCUCGCCGUUGCCGCCGUCAUGCCCACAGGCAAGGAGCACCUUUGGGGUAGCGUUUGUGUUCAAUUUUUCAUUUUACCUAUAUGGUUGUUGGCCUCUGAUUUGCUAUAUAUUUGCUGUCCAUCUGGAGUAUAUUUGUGAUGAUCUUGAUUUGAUAUUGUACUCUAUCCGGUCUUGAUCUAAAUCAAGAUGGUCUUGAUUUGGUAUUGUACUCUUUUUUUUACUCGAUCUAAGAUUCCCGAUUGAAUACGGUAACAGUUGAGCCAAUAUAAACAGCCACACGAAAAAAAAUUCAGACGAAAAUUUGGCUGAAAUUUUGCCUCUUUAGUAUUAGGUAUAGAUUUAAUGGAACUAUAGCAUCAAAAGAAUAUAUAUACCUGGGUGAAUGGGAAGAAAACGUGGGACCAACCAUAGUUCAGGAACAACUGGAUUAUUACCCCGCCAAUCAUAUACGCCAAUAACCUUCAGUUAAGAAAAAAAUCGGUAGCAUGCAUCAAUAAUACCGAUCGACCAGAUUAUAUUAAUGUGUACUGUAUCACCAAAUAGAAUGUCCAUUGUUCAGUAACAUUUUUACUACUUAUAUAGUAUAAUAGUUUAAAGAGCACCUAACACUAGUACAGAAGUGCUCAAAGCCAGCGGUGGAACAUAAUUUUACAGGUGGUUUCAAUUAAAAAACGUCCGUGGAAAGAAAUUGGCUUACCCGACUACAAAACCGUCUGUGAAAAUCAAUUUUUACAGGUGGUUGUAGAAAUCAUGUAUUUCUACAGGAGGAUUUCUUAAGAAACCGUAUGUAGAAAUCAUAUUUCUACAGGCAGAUUUCUUAAGAAACCGUCUGUAGAAUUCAUAUUUCUACAUGCGGUUUCUUAAGAAAUCAUAUUUCUACGUGCGGUUUCUUAAGAAAUCCGCCUGUAGAAAUAAUUUGAACUUGAAUUUUUUGAGCUUUUCAAAUGACCUUGUUUGAAAAAAACCGUCAAAAUGAAAGUUGUAGAUCUUGAAAACUUAUGAAACUUUGAAGUUGAUAAUUUUUUCAUUUGAAAUCAUCUUGUCAUCGAAAACUACGUUUGAAUUUCACAAAUUUGAAAUUCAAAUUUUGUAAAUGACCUCGGAUGAAGGAACUACCAAUAUAAAAGUUGCAGAUCUUAAAAAGUUGUAAAACUUUGUAGUUGACGGCUUUUCCAUUUGAAUCCGUUUUGGGCCUCAAAUAAUUAAUUUAUGCUUGGUUUAUGAUAGUAUGUGGAGAACUAAACUCUAAUACAAACACAACUGAGUGAUAGGUGGAGUGGUAGAGAAGGGUACAUGCGAGGGCGAGGUCUCAAGUUCGAAUCCCACCGGCCGCGUAGCACGUGAUUUUACGCUAAGAAAUGCGCGACCUCUGUGUACUAGUGUAAGUCUAACCUAUUAUGUAAUAUAAUGCAUGCAUGGUGCGUAGAGAGAAUACAUAAUUAAGAACAUGAGCUGAAAAUUAAUAAUGUUGUGUGAGAAAUGGAAAGUGCAUAGCAGUGGACAUGCAUGGAGAAGGUGUUUGGUACGGCUUUUCCUCAGAUUCACAGAGUUACUUUAAACUUAUUCUACCAAACAUGUAUGAUGAAAGAGCUUCUCUCGAUAAACUAUUUUUAGCUCUUCUCACAGUUCUAGGUAAAAUUGGGUGAAGCUGAAAAUACUAACUUGUCGUUAUUUUCUCUACACUAUCUUCACUGCGAAGUUGUUUUACCCAAAGUUUUUUGAAAACAGCUUUACUACUGAAGCUGCUUUAUGGAACCAAAGGCAAAAAAAAUGUUUUACUAGUGAAGCUGAGUUGUAGCAGGUCAAAAUAUAUCCGUGAGCUGGGGACCUUAGUCCAGUCAAUGUCAUUUUCACUGUUUGUUUUUUAUUUUGUUAUUUUUCAGUUUGCAUAACUAUUCCAAUGUUAACAAGAAACAAUCUCUAGAGAUUUUAUCAUGAAUCCUUCUAGGUACUCAAAUUAUGCUGUAAUAAUACCUUUUUUUAGAUAACAGCUACCUAUUAUUUCUAUACAUAUUAUUGAUCAGUAAUAACACAAAUAUAAAUGGAGCAGUUAUUAGUUACUAUGCGUGGAGAUGCAGCCAUGAUUGCAUACCGAGAGUAAUAUCUUUGCCCAUUGUGGUGCUGCAGUUGCAGUGCCAUGGGACAGGAUCCAUGCGCGACCUUUGGCUAGUUCAUCGUUAUGCGCCUCACCGAGAAGCCUCAGGGUGGCAUAGUUCAAGCACGUGCCAAACAUGGCACUCUCGUCCAAAAUGUUGAAGCCCCAUCCGCCGUCCUCGUUCUAGACAAAAAUUAAAUUAAUUAAUUCAUUCAUAAAUGGUUGGUGUGAUGGAAGUUUAAUUUUGUUUCUCUCCUAAACUCUGCGAUGGUUGUUAGAUUAUGUGUGUUGUGCUUGUGUGUGCUCUUUGACAGUCUCACCGUCAGCUUUAUGAGCUGAUUUUUUUUUUCACCAAACAGCCUUUUUUUAAAAGAGCUUAGCCUAUCAAACUUUGUAAACAAUAGCUUUUCAAAGUUUCGGGCCCUGUUUGGUACAGCUGACAACAGCUUCACGAGCUGUUGUGAGCUGUCUUUUUGCCAAACACUUAUUUUCAAAACAGCUUUAUGGGUGAAGCUGUUUUUUCUCUCCUCUCACAAAGACAUAAGUUAGGAUGAAGCUGAAAAAAGUAGUUUAUUGCAGCUUUCUCUCUCAUUUCUCUCUCUCAACUAUGUAUGAAGUAGUUGGUGAAGCUAUUUUACUAAAUAUUUUUUUCAAAACAGCUUAGCUUCAUUUAGAAAGUUGUUCAUGAAAUUAUUUUCUAAAAAAACAGCUUUAAGUUGAGGUGCGCUAAACAAGACUUUCAUCUCCCACGUAUGGGCUCCAGUAUGGGAUUUGCCCCCGCUGUGGAGGAAGCGCGCAGGCUCAACUGGACCGAGGAAGACGAGCGAAGCAACGAGAAAGUAAGACCAGCGAGAGCUGUUUUACCCCCAAAAAAAAACCCGUACCUGAUGGUUGUAGAUAUGGCGGCAUAUCUCACGUAUAUGCUCUUUUGAUAGGACAGCGUCGAUUGAUCCAGUGAUGUGCAACGCGAAGAUCUGUACAACAAGAGUAGAGAGAGAUAGAGAUUACAACAGAGCUUUUGCUAGCUCCCUUCUCAUCAGCCGUUGAGCAUAUGCAUGUAAUUAAGCAAAAAUAAGUGCAUGUCGAAGGGCAAGGAGUGAUGAUACAUAAUAAGCAGCAGGAUCGGAAUAAAAAUAUAAAAUACGAACCCAGAAGGGCUGCAGGUACAUAAUCCCACUGUAAUCACCAGGCCAGUGACCAUCUUCAGCCUGGAGAGAGCAGACAUCCAACCGAGCGCUCGUCUCAGCGACUCGUGCAGAAUUUCUUCCGUCACCUCGUCGCCAUCCGCUAGCUUCGUGGCCGCGGGCAUAUCCGCGCGCAGAUGCUUUUCUCCAGUGAGCUGCUUGCUUGUAACAGGAGUAAAUGACAAGCGCGCGUGCUACAUGAUGAACUUAAGAACACAGCCUGCGGGCAUAUCGUCUUAUCUAUUACCUGCAUGCGCAUGAGUAGAUCCUGCGAUUCCCUCCUCCGGAAGCGGUUCUCCGUGAAGUCCUGGCGAAGCAGCUCCACCUUGGCGCGCUCCUCGUCGGUGCCGGCGUCUGGGUCGAACUCCCACACCUGCCGGCCAUGGAACUCACUCACCGUCUGCAUCCAUGGGCCUCCUCCUUUUGAGAUCUUUAGCCUCCACAUGCUAUGCUGGUAGCCGCUCGCGCCCCCCUCUCCAAUAUAUGAAGAAGUCUGCUGCAGCAGCUAUAGCUAAUCUAGCUUCAAAGGUGGACCGAGUUGUAGUGUUGGACGGAACUUAUUCCCUCGGUUGGGCAUGCAUAUAUAGCUAGUUAUUGUUAACUUUUGCUUCUCGUCGUUCCGGCCUCGUUUAGUAGUUCCUAAAAAGAAAAGUUUUUGAAUAUACUCUAGCAUAUUUAUAACUGUAAUAAUUAAUGUUCAAUCAUGAACUAUUUAGACUUAAAAGAUUCGUCUGGCAAAGUACAUAUAAAAUAUGUAAUUAGUUAUUUUUAAUUUAUAUUUAAUGUUAUAUGUAUGUGUUUAAAUAUUCGAUGUGAUGAUACGAAAAAUUUUAAGUAAAAACUAAACGGGACUCUAUAACUAUUAUAUGUAUGAGUACUAAUUAGUCAUGGGCCCUAUAACUAUUAAUAAUUAAUAAUUCUGUCGGUUUGCAUUGAUCGACAACAAGAUGCGCAGAUGGGCAGUGCCUGCAGAAGCUUGUCUGCUUUUAUUAUUUCCUUGAGAGCGUCCGCAAUAUAGCACUAGUACAUAGCUAACUGAUAUAGAGUUGAGAGAUAAUAGCAAAAAAAAAA
rnacentral:lncRNA from 1 species